rnacentral:rRNA from 1 species
AGAGUUUGAUCCUGGCUCAGGAUGAACGCUAGCGGCAGGCUUAACACAUGCAAGUCGAGGGGCAGCAUAAUGGAUAGCAAUAUCUAUGGUGGCGACCGGCGCACGGGUGCGUAACGCGUAUGCAACCUACCUUUAACAGGGGGAUAACACUGAGAAAUUGGUACUAAUACCCCAUAAUAUCAUAGAAGGCAUCUUUUAUGGUUGAAAAUUCCGAUGGUUAGAGAUGGGCAUGCGUUGUAUUAGCUAGUUGGUGGGGUAACGGCUCACCAAGGCGACGAUACAUAGGGGGACUGAGAGGUUAACCCCCCACACUGGUACUGAGACACGGACCAGACUCCUACGGGAGGCAGCAGUGAGGAAUAUUGGUCAAUGGACGCAAGUCUGAACCAGCCAUGCCGCGUGCAGGAAGACGGCUCUAUGAGUUGUAAACUGCUUUUGUACGAGAGUAAACGCUCUUACGUGUAAGAGCCUGAAAGUAUCGUACGAAUAAGGAUCGGCUAACUCCGUGCCAGCAGCCGCGGUAAUACGGAGGAUCCAAGCGUUAUCCGGAUUUAUUGGGUUUAAAGGGUGCGUAGGCGGUUUGAUAAGUUAGAGGUGAAAUUUCGGGGCUCAACCCUGAACGUGCCUCUAAUACUGUUGAGCUAGAGAGUAGUUGCGGUAGGCGGAAUGUAUGGUGUAGCGGUGAAAUGCUUAGAGAUCAUACAGAACACCGAUUGCGAAGGCAGCUUACCAAACUAUAUCUGACGUUGAGGCACGAAAGCGUGGGGAGCAAACAGGAUUAGAUACCCUGGUAGUCCACGCAGUAAACGAUGAUAACUCGCUGUCGGCGAUACACAGUCGGCGGCUAAGCGAAAGCGAUAAGUUAUCCACCUGGGGAGUACGUUCGCAAGAAUGAAACUCAAAGGAAUUGACGGGGGCCCGCACAAGCGGAGGAACAUGUG